CAGAUACAUGAUGAUCUCUGCCUCAGUUUGAGCUCUCACUGGUUAUUUGAUGACAACAAAAGAUCUGAUAUUCUG